GUGGGAGUGGGGGUGGGUCCCUCAGCCGGGAUUGCGAGAGGGUGCAGGCCAGGCCGAGGGACCCCACUGGUGCACG
rnacentral:pre_miRNA from 1 species